GAUGAACGCUAGCUACAGGCUUAACACAUGCAAGUCGAGGGGAAACGAUAGAGAAAGCUUGCUUUUUCUAGGCGUCGACCGGCGCACGGGUGAGUAACGCGUAUCCAACCUGCCCAUCACUUGGGGAUAACCUUGCGAAAGUAAGACUAAUACCCAAUGACGUCUCUAGAAGACAUCUGAAAGAGAUUAAAGAUUUAUCGGUGAUGGAUGGGGAUGCGUCUGAUUAGCUUGUUGGCGGGGUAACGGCCCACCAAGGCGACGAUCAGUAGGGGUUCUGAGAGGAAGGUCCCCCACAUUGGAACUGAGACACGGUCCAAACUCCUACGGGAGGCAGCAGUGAGGAAUAUUGGUCAAUGGACGAGAGUCUGAACCAGCCAAGGUCGCGUGGAGGAAGACGGCCCUACGGGUUGUAAACUCCUUUUACCUGGGGAAUAACGGGCGCUACGCGUAGCGCUGUGCAUGUACCGGGAGAAUAAGCAAUCGGCUAAUUCCGUG
rnacentral:rRNA from 1 species